rnacentral:rRNA from 1 species
UACGGAGGGUGCAAGCGUUAAUAGGAAUUACUGGGCGUAAAGCGCACGCAGGCGGUUUGUUAAGCUAGAUGUGAAAGCCCCGGGCUCAACCUGGGAUGGUCAUUUAGAACUGGCAGACUAGAGUCUUGGAGAGGGGAGUGGAAUUCCAGGUGUAGCGGUGAAAUGCGUAGAUACCUGGAGGAACAUCAGUGGCGAAGGCGACUCCCUGGCCAAAGACUGACGCUCAUGUGCGAAAGUGUGGGUAGCGAACAGG